GCCAUAGUAACUCAGUUGGUAGAGUGGCAGAUUCGUAAUCUGCAAGUCGCGGGUUCAAGUCCCGCCUAUGGCU
rnacentral:tRNA from 1 species